rnacentral:rRNA from 1 species
UACAGAGGUCUCAAGCGUUGUUCAGAUUCAUUGGGCGUAAAGGGUGCGUAGGCGGCGCCGUAAGUCGGGUGUGAAAUUUCGGAGCUUAACUCCGAAACUGCAUUCGAUACUGCGGUGCUUGAGGACUGGAGAGGAGACUGGAAUUCAUGGUGUAGCAGUGAAAUGCGUAGAGAUCAUGAGGAAGACCAGUGGCGAAGGCGGGUCUCUGGACAGUUCCUGACACUGAGGCACGAAGGCCAGGGGAGCAAACGGG